rnacentral:rRNA from 1 species
UACGGAGGGUGCAAGCGUUAUCCGGAUUCACUGGGUUUAAAGGGUGCGUAGGCGGGCAGGUAAGUCCGCGGUGAAAUCUCCAAGCUUAACUUGGAAACUGCCGUGGAUACUAUUUGUCUUGAAUAUAGUGGAGGUGAGCGGAAUAUGUCAUGUAGCGGUGAAAUGCUUAGAUAUGACAUAGAACACCCAUUGCGAAGGCAGCUCGCUACACUAUUAUUGACGCUGAGGCACGAAAGCGUGGGGAUCAAACAGG